rnacentral:piRNA from 1 species
UGAGAAUUGGUGUCUGGGCAUCCUGUCUGUU